GCCGGGGUAGCUCAGCUGGCAGAGCAAGGCUCUUGUAAAGCCUAGGCCGCGGGUUCGAGUCCCGCCCCCGGCU
rnacentral:tRNA from 1 species